rnacentral:lncRNA from 1 species
UAGCUCAAAGUUCAAUACCACCUAUAUGACAGGUAUUGGAAACAUAAGGGUAAGCAAACUCAAGAGUUCCAAGAAAACUCAAAUACCAACUCUUCAUCUUCCUAUAAAACUCUUAGAGCUCUUUUCAAUUUUCUCCUCCAAAAAAUAACUCUUUUCUUGAUUAUGCCAAUGAAAACCAUUUAAAAUUACUAACCAACAUUAAAAAAAAAAAAAAAAAGUUUCCUUUAUCACAAAUUUCACAAAAUCAUAUUUUUUUCUCCUUUUUUUCUCUUUUCUUCGGUUUCUCUCUUCUCUUUAGUUUCUCUCUCUCACUCUGGCGGGACUUCCUUGUCGCUGCCACCUCAUGCUGAUGCUGUGCAACUUGCCAUCUCUAUUGCUUACUAUCUCACUGUUGUUCCAUGCUAAGCCACCAUUUGCUAUCGUCCUCGAUAGCCCAAUUGUUCCUCGCUUGCGCGAAACCAUUGCUGCUAAUCGCUCGACGUCGCCAGGCACUGCUUCUUUGAUGUCUUCCUUUAAUCACUAGUCGCUCGAAACCAUAGUUAGAUAUUUUAAUAUCAUAUUCUAUUAAUAUCUUAUAGUUUUUAAUAUCUUUUUUCAGACGAAACUUUAAAAGGUAAAUUUAUAAUAAUACAAGUUAAAAUAAAAAUAACUUCUGGUAUCUUUUAGGUAUAUUUUUAAUUUUUUUUUUUACAAAAUUAUAAAAAAUAAAAUAAUCUAAAAUAAAAAUUAAAUUCACAAUAGUAUAAAUUAAAAAUAAUAUCCUUUUGGUAUCUUAUAGGUAUAUUUUUAGUAUUUUUUUCUUUCGGUAUUUUAUAGAUAUGCUUUGAGUGUCUUUUUCUUUCAGUAUCUUUUAGAUAUAUUUUUAGUAUCUAUUUUUCAACAAAAUUUUAAAAAAUAAAAAUAUAUAAAAUAAAAACUAAAGUCACAAUAAUAUAAAUUUUUAAGAAAAUUCUAUGUGUGUCUUAUAGGUAUACUUUUAGUAUUUUUUUCUGAUAAAAUUUUAAAAAAAAUAUUAAAAAAAGAACUUUUCAAAAAAAAAAAACCGUAAAAGAAUCAUUCUUUUACCGUAAAAAGAAACUUUAAAAACAUGGUGUACCAUGGAAUUUUUUCAACUAAUAAACUUUUAAUUAAGUCCAAUAUAUAUGAGCUUAAGUUUAAUGCUCAAAGGCUCAUUUUAAUCCCACUUAAAGGCUAUGAAUAUGAAUUAUGAAUUAAACUCCUUUAAUUCAAUGUUAGUUAUCAAAUUUAAUUUAAUCCAUAUUUAUAGAUUAAGAUUGACAUCUAGCUAUGCAUCAAUGACUAUCCAAAUGUGUAAGAAUAAUUAAAGUGUUUUAGUCAACCUUUGCAGUGAACAAUCUUAUAAUAUAAUUUAAUCUUUCAUUGUACUUUUAUCCUAAUUGAUUUAUAGAGCAUGGAUGUAAGUGUCAACUCUAUAAUUGAAUUAAUCAUAUUUUUUUCUUGAUAAUUGCAUCUAAUAUUUUGAAUAAGAUCUAUGAAACACUUUUCAUUAUCUUCAUUCAAACAACCUUGGCUAAAGAUUUCCAUGUUAAAGCAUAUCAAGAAUCAUUAGGAUAAAGUCCCAUGACAUAUUAUCUUGGGCAGCUAAUUUUUUAUUGAUAACUUAUUAUCUUUAUAUGACUCUUACUAUACCCAAUNNNAAAUAGUAUCAAAGUAUAGUAGUUCUCAUAUAAGAUAAUACACUAUAAUCUCAAGUCUAAGGAUCACGUCUUACAUGAUUAUCAGAAGAGUAUUGUCCAUAGACACUUGGGGUAAAUUCCAUAUAAACAACUCAGGAAGGUCGUGUUCAAUGAACUUGUUCUUAUAACAAGCACCCAUAUACAUAUCUCAGAAUCUUUAUUCCUCAACCUUAUGAGACAGAUUACUUAUUUCACAAGUAAGUGAUAACAUAUUAUGGUAAUCUCAAGCAUCUGAUCAAUAUCCAACGACCAAUAUCUAAUUCUUGAUCGAACAUCAACUAUGAACAAGGUUUAGGAAUGUAUGUAAUGAGAAUCUCAACAUUAUAAACUCACUUUAUAAUUUAUAUUACAUUUAUGUUUACAUUCCAUGGUCUUCAUCUCUAACGGCCUGGAUUAUUUCUUAAUAAUACCAUGAUUACUCGUACCAUUAAGAGUCGAAUAAUGCCUUCAAUAUAAUUCUAUGCCAUUAAUUAUGAUGUAUAAAUUAACACAGAUCAUCUAACAACUCUUUGUCUAUAGGGCAUUGCUCUAACACUAGAAAACCUAAAAAGUUUCUUGCUUGGACUCCAAAAGCACACUUUAAAGGAUUUAACUUUAGUUUGUGUUCCUUCAUUCUUUGAAAGCUUCUCUACAUGUAUAGUCAGUAGCUCUUUUAAACUUUACUACAAUGUCAUCAAUAUAAACCUCCAUAUGAUGACCUAGCAUGUCAUGAAAAAUGGCGUCCAUUGCCUUUUGAUAAGUAGCACCUAUAUUUUUUAAUCCAUCCAUAUUGAUCUUGAACAUCUAAAAGUAGUUUUAAAAAUAUCAUCUACAACAAUUAAAAUAUGAUUAUAACAGAAUAACCAUCCAUAAAUAAUAAUAUUUCAUAGGUGGUAGUAGCAUCAAUUAACAUGUCUGCUAUAGACAUUACAUACAUAUCAUCAGGAGUUGUAUUUAAAUCUCUAAAAUCAACACGUACCUGUAGCUUUCCACUCUUUUUCAUAACAUGCGCAAUGUUGGAAAGCCAAUUGGAAUAACUCUUUGAAAUGAUAUAUCCUUCCUUUAGUAGUUUUUUAAUUUAUUCCUUUAAGUUUAAUCUCCUUGGACAUUCUUUUUGCUGGUUGCUGAUCUAGUUUAAACUCCCCCCUAAUAGGAAGGCUUCCGGUGUGUCAACUUAAUUAUCAUCAUCAAGCCACUUACUUGAUGUCUAACUUUCCAACUGGUAGAUGGUUUCUUUUCCUCAUAUCAAUGAAGAAGGGAGAAGAAAAUGGCUUCUUCAGAAAAAAUUGGAAGCGAAGCGCUAUGUCGAGGCGAGGGGACAAGAAAAGAAAUGGCUCCGAAGAUAGGUGCUCUACUAGGCUCCUGCCUAACCUAGGCAUUUCCUCAUAACUCUAUGCAAAAUAAUCCUUGAAUUCCUGCAAAAUCUUUGCAAUUUAUUUUUUCAAACCUUCUAAC